rnacentral:lncRNA from 1 species
UUCGAAUGUGAUUUGUAGAGGGAUGGUUCUUUCUUCAAUAUCAAAAUCAAAAAGGGUCUAAGUUUUAUUUAAAUUUCAGGAUUGGUCAGAGGCAAUUUUACAAUAAUCUACCUAUGCCACCAUGACUUGAUUCCUCUGUACUGAAGUUGGGUUUCAUCUAAUCUCAUUGGUUUUUAGAAGAACUUUUUAUCUAGAGUUUAUUAAUUAAUGUAUUUGAUUUAAUAGGUUUGAAGUGCGAAUGAUUGGAAGUUGAAGUGCUAGAACUCGAAUUAAGGAGAUUGUGAAAUGAAAACAUUUGAAUGACGGUAACCAAGACAAGUAUCACAACUUAAAAGCAACCAAUCAAACCAUUGCUGAUCCAUCAUAUUAUUCAUGGCCUACUCUUUAUGUGCAGAGAAAUACUCAAAUCAAUGGGAACCCAAAAAGGAAUCAGAGGAAAUGUAAAGCGAAUUACAUUGAAAUGAAAAGUCUCGCCUAUCAACCAUUGUCUGUUUUAACAAGGGCCCUCUCUCACUAUUCUUGCCCAUCAAAGAUUAACAAGAAUAGCCUAAAUCAAAAUUCCCUGUUUCUUUAUUAUUAUUAUUAUUAUUAUUAUUAUUAUUAUUAUUAUUAUAUCUUAAUUUCAAAACCAAAACAAAAAAAUAAAAAUAAAAAUUGAUGGUGCAAAGAAUUUGAACCCAUAUCAAAUUUUCUUCACGCUUCUUACCUUUUACCUGCAGAGAAGAAUCAAUCGACAUGCCUGGUUUUGUUGGGACAGCGAGUGAGGUAGAGGAAGCCUGAAACAAGACUCAGACAAAAGUAGCGCAAUCAUCGAAUUUGAUUGCGAAUUUGUGAAGGAGAACAGAGCAGUCCUGAUGCAUC